rnacentral:lncRNA from 1 species
UCAUACACUCACAAAUCCAGGAGUAAUGACUUCAACAAAACACUAGUAAUACUAUACCAUAAGAUCUCAACCACCAAACAAGCAACAAAGAAAAUAAAAUGCAAGAACAACUUACUUGGUAAGAGAAUGUGGGCCCAUAACCUAUUGAAACAUAGAAAGCAAACUCCACACAAGUAAGUUAGGACCAGCAAGGUUGCACUAUAACAAAUAGAGCAUGGUAUGAGAUAAUUCUUCCCAUGCCAACCCUUUCCUUAUAUACUAGUACCAAGGUACCAAGUGCUACAAUCCAUAUGGGAUAUCUC